rnacentral:lncRNA from 1 species
AAUAGAAAACGUCGUAGGAAAGAGCCGGGAAUUACAAAAAAAUAGGAAAAAAGAAUCAUUUCACGCGAAAAGAUACACACAAGGUUUCAUCUCCUUCCUCAGUUUCCUAUGUUUGAAAUGGUGUGAGGUUUGAUGUUUGCGAAGAAUUAUUUUGUUUUUUCAUUUGUGGAUAUUUACUACUCAGUUAGAGGGAUCUACCUGAUUGGGAAGAACGGAAUCAAAAGAGACACAGUUUUGUUUUGAUUGCAUUUUGUAUAAAAUAAAUAAAUAACACUUGAUUUACCUCUUCAUAAAUAAUCACCAACAUUAUUGAACUUUAGGAAAUAAAGGAAGAGUUGAGGUCAAAAUUUUGGCCUAGGAGUUUUUGUCAACACUCUAGACGUAUAUAUUUUUUUUCAUCAUGGCUGGGGAUUUGGAUUCUACUACCAUCGAUUUUGGAUUCGAUAUUGAGGAAGCAGUGGCAGCUAGAU